UCCGGGUUAGUCCCGGCGGUCCGACCAGACUUCGUAACUGGCCGCGGGGGUUGCGCUCGUUGCGGGACUUAACCCAACACCUCACGGCACGAGCUGACGACAGCCGUGCAGCACCUGUGCACGCUCCCUCGCGGGUCCCUCGGCUUUCACCUCAGUACCACGUGCAUGUCAAGCCUGGGUAAGGUUCUUCGCGUUGCAUCGAAUUAAACCACACGCUCCGCUGCUUGUGCGGGCCCCCGUCAAUUCCUUUGAGUUUUAGCCUUGCGGCCGUAGUCCCCAGGCGGGGCACUUAUUGCGUUAGCUGCGGCACCGGGGGGGUCGAUACCCCCGACACCUAGUGCCCAUCGUUUACGGCGUGGACUAC
rnacentral:misc_RNA from 1 species